AUACGGAGGGUGCAAGCGUUGUUCGGAAUCACUGGGCGUAAAGGGCGCGCAGGCGGUUUUACAAGUCAGAUGUGAAAGCCCACGGCUCAACCGUGGAAGUGCAUUUGAAACUGUAAGACUUGAGUAUCAGAGGGGAAGGUGGAAUUCCCGGUGUAGAGGUGAAAUUCGUAGAUAUCGGGAGGAAUACCGGUGGCGAAGGCAACUUUCUGGCUGAAUACUGACGCUGAGGCGCGAAAGCGUGGGGAGCAAACAGGAUUAGAAACCCUAGUAGUCC
rnacentral:rRNA from 1 species